UACGAAGGGUGCAAACGUUGCUCGGAAUUAUUGGGCGUAAAGCGCACGUAGGCGGCUUUACAAGUCGGAUGUGAAAUCCCUCGGCUUAACCAAGGAAGUGCAUCCGAAACUGCAGAGCUUGAGUACGAAAGAGGAUCGCGGAAUUCCUGGUGUAGCGGUGAAAUGCGCAGAUAUCAGGAAGAACACCCGUGGCGAAAGCGGCUCUCUGGAACGGUACUGACGCUGAGACGCGAAAGCGUGGGGAGCGAACAGG
rnacentral:rRNA from 1 species